UUGUGGAGGGUGGUGGUGAAAGCCUAAAGGAGCAAUGGCGCAUUCAACCACGAACAAGGGUGAAUGUGUGUGUGUGAGAGAGAGAGAGAGAGAUCUCGCGCAUAAAACAAGCAUAUCUAGAGUUAUAUAUACAUCUCAAAACUCUCUAUUCUCAGUUUAGAACCUACAACGUCUAAAUUAUAGAUCGACCACUCAAACUAGAAAUAGUUGAGAACUCAUAACUAGAAAAAUUCUGGAUCCGCCACUGCUGAGAGCUGAAGUUCAUUGCAUGGCAGGGGUAGAAAGACCUAUCUCUGUCCCUCCGCCCUAUAACAAGUCUACACAUUCUUCAUCCACCAACGUCUAGAUUUUAUAUUCCUUUUUUUUAUCGAGACAAGUGUCUUAGUUCAUGUGAAGCAAUUUCAAUUCCUUGACAUAUCUCUUGUGGUCCAGACAGCCAGAACCAAUUCCCUCCAAGUUUACUCGAUUUUUCUCCAAUCGAGAAAGAAAUUUCAAAUUAUCGAAGAAUAUUUAGGAAAAGAUAGAUUUUAGCAUCAUAUGCAUUUGUCAAACCAUAUCUCUAUACCAAACUAGUGCUGCAAAUAACACAAAUCUAACAGUUGACAACUUUUAUAUCUUGUAGAUCCUGUCGAAAGCUCACAACAGAUCAAAAAGGAAACUUUUCGGCUUUAAUAGUGAGAUCUAACAACUAUAUAAACCUCCCUAACCAUUCAUCAAAAUUAUCAGCACCAGCACACCAUUUCUUGAGCUUCAAAUUCUACGUCUAUAUGAGAUACUCAGUACUCAAUUCCUUCAUUUCUUUUUUAGGUGAAGCGUCGGUCAUAUCCUUUCCUUGUGUAGUUCAUUUACUUAUCUUACAUUGGAACUAAACUUCCUCUUUUUGCAGCUUCCACACACACAAAAAAAAAAGCUGAUGUCUUUGAUGCAAGUUUAAUGUGCCGCGGAGUUUCCUUUUAGAAUGAAAUAACUGUACUUCUCAGUAAUGAAAGUUUGUUCACUUUCAAGUUUCAAAAACUGUUUUUGUUGGGUGGUUUAAUGAUAAUACGCCCUCCGUUUCAUCUGUUUAUCUUAUGUUCCUUUAUAAGUCUGUUAAAUAGAAGAACGUACCUUUCCUCUUUUGGUAACUCUUUAAUUCUUACUUUCCGCAAAGCAUACGCGAGAUUAAAGGACAUUUCGAUACGUUCUACAUAUCUUUAGCUUUCUUUACUUUCUUAAACACAGCGUAAAGUCAAAAACCAGACAAAGAUAUUGAAACGGAGUGAGUAUUCUGUAGCUUUAAUAAAUGUGAAGGGUUAUGUUUAACUUAUGUACAGAAGGAUCAGAUAUUAGAUUCACAGAACUAAAUUAGUUCCUUUAAGCAUCAACUCCCAAUUAUUACAGAAAUAAGAAUCUGAUGCUUGACUUUUAUAAGUGAGCCAAAAUGAAGUAACUCAUAUUCCACCUUUCCUCUUCUUCUUUUUUUCUUCAACUCUCAAAACUCAUUUCCAUUUCCAUACUAAUCUGCAACAUUUUCAAUGUUAGGCCGAUAAUCGAUCUAGCAUUAUGCUUGGCUACAUCAACGUGCAAAGGCGGUCACACUCAACACGAGUAAUCUUAUAUACAUGGAAGUACAUUCACAUUUAGGAGUACAAACCUCAUUACGAGAAGACUAGGCAGAUCUAUGUAACUACGUUUUGCUCGAAGUAUAUAUAAAGAAUGAAAAUAAAUUGUAUGCAUGUACUAUCGUUUUUUGGGGAGAAAAGCAACCCCAACCAGAAGUGAACUAACCAUAUGUAUGCAAGUGAAAAGGCACUAACAUGUAAACAAAUAUUAUACUUCAAACCAACAGUUCCAAAAAUGCAACGUAACCAACGAGAAGGAACUUAAAGAUAAAGUCUUUCUCAAGUUUAAAUCAUGAAUCUGCCUCUCCAUGCAGGAAUAAUCCAUUAUUUCGGAAAGUUUCACAUUCCAUGCAACUUAACUUAGACAAGUGUCUCAGCUCAUGUGAAGUAGUUUCGUUUCAUGGCAUAUCUCCUGUGGACCAGACAGCCAGAACCAAUUCAUGUUAACCAUGUCUUUCUUUCAAAUAUCUCUGUCAAUAAAAGUCAAUUUCCGUUUAAAAAUCACUGUUUUAGUCCGUGUAAUUAAGAUUCUAUUCCCUAAAUUUUCUAUAUUGCGAAAGAAAGUUCAAAUUAUUGAAGAAUAUUUAGGAAAAGUGAGAUGUUAGCAUUAAAUGCAUGAAUUUAACAGUUGACAACUUUUGAAAAACAUAUAUCUGUACACUCAAGAAGGAAGGUUUAUCCAAGUAUUUUUUUUUUGUUCUAUCUUGUGGAUCCCAUUUAAGGAAACUGUCUAAAGAUCAAAUAGGAAAACUUUGGGUCCCCAAUAGUGAGAUUUUCCAACUAUAUAAACCUCCCAAACCAUUCAUCAAAAUCUACCAACUCCAGCAAAUCAUUUCUUGAGCUUCACGUUUAUAACGUGUAGUCGACAAGCUCAAGUCUUCAAAUCCUUCAUUUGUUUUAGAUUUCAAGAAAAAAGAUCAUGAGUAGGGAAGGAGAUUGGAUGUGUUCUGCAUGCCAACACCUAAAUUUCAAGAAACGAGAUGCAUGUCAACGAUGUAGCUGUCCUAAAUACGCAACAUCGGCUGAUGUUGCUAUGUAUGGACUAAGCAAAACAGAUGUUCUUGCUGGAGAUUGGUAUUGCAGUGCCAUGAAUUGUGGUUCUCACAACUAUGCAAGCAGAACAAGUUGUUAUCGGUGCGGUUCAUUAAAAAGUGAUUAUUAUGGUAUUGGGGUAGGAAUGAUGGCACCAGCAGGUUAUGGAUAUGAUGCAAGUGCUAUUCCUGGUUGGAAAAGUGGUGAUUGGAUUUGCAGCAGAUUAGGAUGUGGUAUGCACAACUAUGCCAGUAGAGCUGAAUGUUAUAAAUGCAAGACACCUAGAGAUUUUGGUGAGCCAUCUGCCAUAUGAUUCUGGAGGUGACAUGAGAGAAAGUGAGUUAUAUUGAAAGCCGCGGCAAUAUGAAGUUUGUUUCUUUAGAUUAGUUUCUCAAAGAAGGGUUUAAUUUCUAACUGCAUCGUAACUAUGCAAUUGUUCUAAUGAAUGAAAUCCCUUCAAGAUUUUGCAUUCUUUCUGUCUUUCAACAUCUGCUUUUACUUCGGGUGCUCCAACGAAUCAUAUUAUCGGAACUUAACAGUCCAACAAACAUUACGUAUCACUUAAUUUACAGCAAGAAAAAAGGAAGUUGAAAUUAUAUAAGAAUCAGAUAUUAGAUUCAUAGAAUAUUUGAGUGAUUUCUCUCUAAAGGAACAAAAUUAGUUCCUUUAAGCAUCAACUCUCAAUUAUUAUACACAGAUAAGAACCAGAUGCUCUAACUUUUAUCAGUGAGCCAAUUUCACUUUUUCUCUUUUCUUUGUCUCAAACUCAUUUCCAUCUCCAUACUAAUCGGAAACAUUUCCGAGUUAGUCAUUUCAUCAUUGUUGAGCUAAGUCCAUGUAAUUUCAAUGCAACUACAAAGUCGGUUCUGGAAAGGGUAGUGUGUAUCUAGAUAGACCCUUUUAUAGACCCUCGGCUCUCAAGGAAGCAUAAGCCAAAGUAGUCCAGAAAAAGAAGUAACGGAAGUACAAGAAACAACAGAUAAUUAUAACAACAAUUUGAAUGCAACUAAUUAGUGGAAACCCCAUUUGAGGGUUCGUAAGUUCGUUGCAACUUAAGAGACGAGAAUGAGCCAAGAACUAUUCGAAAUCACACUAAUAAAGAUUGGAUUUUGACCGAUAACUUAGCAGUAAGCUUGGCUUCAUUGGAAACAGGAUCAUGUACAUUAACCAGCAGGACCAACUACAUAAUUUAUAUUUAGAGCUCAAUAUAAAAUCGUAUUUUAAUACAAGACUCAUUCGGAUAAGGAAAAACUCGAGAGGUUGUUUCUAUCAGAGUUAUUGAGUUACUGAAUAAGAAUAUGGAAUUGAUUCUUGUUACAUUAUUUCUAAAACAUUAUCCAUCUUAGGGAUUGUGGGGGAGGGGGCGUGAAAAGAACAGUCGCGAAUUCAACCACAAACAAGAGAUGAGGGGUUGGAGGUGAGUAAAGCAAUGAGUACAAAGUCAACCACAGGUUAGCAUUUUCAAUAGAACCUACAGGUGCUUUCGUAUCGAGUCUAUAUAUAUGUGUGCAUUUGUAGACACGUAAGACAAGUGCGUCUAGAGUUAGAUAUACAUUUCAGAACUCACAUCCACCACACGAACAUUUUCAAGAUGAACCAUACAUAUACAUGUGAAAAACCACGAAGAACGUCAACAACCAUUAAGCGAUAAGUACCUUAAAGAUAAAACUUAUCAAGUUUAAAUCUUGAAUCCGCAGCUCCAAAAAAGUCUACUCCUACAUUUCCAUAUAGGAAUAAUCCAUUAUUUUGCAAUGGUUCACAUUCCAUGUAAAAUUAAUUAUAUUCCCUUUUUACAAGUGUUUUAGUUCCCUGGCAUAUCUCCUAGUGUCCAAACAGCUAGAACCUAUUCUUAAUCAAUAUCUUUGUCAAUAAAAAGUCAAUUUUCUGUUAAAAAAUCAAAUUUUUAAGUCUGUUUUAGGAUUCUAUUCCCUAUUUUUUUCAAAUUAUUGAAGAAUAUUUAGGAAAAAAGAGAUGUUAGCAUCAUAUGCAUUUGUCAACUCUUCAAGUUUUUAUCCAAAUUUUUUUCUUCAAAAUUUAUAAACAUCAUCAUGUUUGUUGUGGAUCCCAUUUAAGGAAACUGUCUAUAAUUCAAAAGGAACUUCUUUUGGCCCCAAUAAUGAGAUCUUCAAGUUUUUACGUCUAGUCGAGAAGCUCAGUUUGUCUAAUCUGUAACUUCUCUUAAGGUGAGACAAAUUCAUAAUGUUUUUGCCCUUGUGUAGUUCAUUUCAUUAUCUUUGGUUAGAAUCAAAUUUCGUAUCCUUCUGGCUUCUACAUAAUAAAGCUUCAGUCUUUCAUGAAUGUUUUUCGAAAAACUUAAGCCUUUAAGAUUGAUGUUGAAUUCAGGUUUCAAGGACAGAAAAUGAACAGGGAAGGAGAUUGGAUGUGUGUUGCAUGCCAGCACGUAAAUUUCAAGAAACGUGAUGGAUGCCAACGAUGUAGCUGUCCUAAAUAUGCAACGUCAGCUGACGUUGCAAUGUAUGGACUAAACAUAACAGAUGUUCUUGCUGGAGAAUGGUAUUGCAAUGUAUGGACUAAACAUAACAGAUGUUCUUGCUGGAGAUUGGUAUUGCAAUGUAUGGACUAAGCAUAACAGAUUGCUGAAAUUUGAUCGGCUACAUGAAUCCUCAUUUUCCAUAUCUCUCCACUUAAGAAUAGGAUGUGGUAUGCACAACUAUGCUAGUAGAGCUGAAUGUUAUAAGUGCAAGACACCUACGGAUUCUGGAUGAGGGACGCGGCGAUAUUAAGUUUUUGUUGAAGAUUUACCUUCAGAGACUUAACUACAUUGUAUCUGUGACACUGUUACACAGUGUGUUCUAAUGAAUGAAAUUCCUUCAGAUUUUGCUUGCUUU